AUAUUUUUGUGUUUUAGUGAUGAAUUUUCUUAUUUAUAAAAUGAGUUUAUUUAGUCGAAGACCAAAAAAAAAAGAAUGAGUUUAUUUAAGGACGCAUCUCUUCAACAGACAACAAUCCAUCGAUUUCUUCAAUUAAUGAAUUCGUUUCACCUGCAUAUAACUCUUCAAAUUCACUCAGGCUCCCAAGAUAUAACUUCCUCACCGCUUUCUCUGCUCGCUCAAUUCACCCACAUCCAAACAAAUCUCACCUCAUCGAUGGCUUCAAAAUUCUACUCGCAACUUUGAUUGAUGAACAGAGGCAGUCAUACAUGAGGUUAAGCUUCCCAUCAGCUGAAGCCACGAGAUGACGAAAGCACUAAUGAUUGUGACGAGUGUGAGUAUCAGGUGGUGACAUAGGAUGCGGCUCUGGUGAUGAGUUCACCAUCUUCCCGCCGAGCGGCAGAGUAGAAGACAAACAAACGAAAAUCUUUAGACUUUCACUGUGUCAAACAAGUAGUUACAACACAACCUCCGUUGGUCUUGCUUACUUUCAUGUGAACACCAGCUCCUCUCCUUGCAAAUUUGUAGGUAAAUAUGAAUCUGGUAAAUGGCACUGCUUUUGUCAUCAGGUUUUUACCAUCACCAUUGGAUGGUACAGAUAUACAAGCUGAAACCUCAAAAUAACAUGAUUCGUGGUAAAGGAAAGAAGCUGAAACUGGUAAAGCAUAAAAAAAAUUCGGUGAAAUUAUUCUAAAAUCCUCUUACAUACUCAUUGAAGUACUAUUUAAAACUUUUGAUAAGUAACCCAUAUUAGUUGAAUAUCGAAUUUAUUCGCUAGAUUAGGUAUCAAUUGGUACAAGACUGAGAGAUAAUGAGCUAACACUGCUUUUGUAUCUUGUUUCCAGAAAACAAGCUCAGGAUGGAGCUCAAAUUGGCAAAAGAAGAAUUUGUAGAUCUAGAAAUCCUACAACUCUAAGACUAUGUUUUCGUUUUAUUAUGUUAAAAACUUUUUCAAUUUUCUUGGUUGUGAAACGAUCUUUGACCACUGGAGGAGUUUUGAGUUUGAAAACUGUUAAUUUGAACUUAUAAAAACUAUCCUUAUUCAGAAUAUGAGUUCAAUUGGUUCAGACAAUGUAAUUUUUGUAUUGUCACUAA